UACACUCCUACGGGAGGCAGCAGUGGGGAAUUUUGGACAAUGGGCGAAAGCCUGAUCCAGCAAUGCCGCGUGAGUGAAGAAGGCCUUCGGGUUGUAAAGCUCUUUUGUCAGGGAAGAAACGGUGAAAGCUAAUAUCUUUUGCUAAUGACGGUACCUGAAGAAUAAGCACCGGCUAACUACGUGCCAGCAGCCGCGGUAAUACGUAGGGUGCAAGCGUUAAUCGGAAUUACUGGGCGUAAAGCGUGCGCAGGCGGUUUUGUAAGUCUGAUGUGAAAUCCCCGGGCUCAACCUGGGAAUUGCAUUGGAGACUGCAAGGCUAGAAUCUGGCAGAGGGGGGUAGAAUUCCACGUGUAGCAGUGAAAUGCGUAGAUAUGUGGAGGAACACCGAUGGCGAAGGCAGCCCCCUGGGUCAAGAUUGACGCUCAUGCACGAAAGCGUGGGGAGCAAACAGGAUUAGAAACCCCUGUAGUCCCA
rnacentral:rRNA from 1 species